AACGAACGCUGGCGGCGUGCCUAACACAUGCAACUCGAACGGAAUAAGGGGCUUGCUCCUUAUUUAGUGUCGCACGGGUGAGUAACGCGUAGAUAAUCUGCCUGAUGAUCUGGGAUAACAUUUCGAAAGAGGUGCUAAUACCGGAUAAGCCCACGACAGCCUUGGUCGACGCGGGAAAAGGGGGGGCACAUUUGGCCCUCUGUCACCAGCUGAGUCGGCGUACCAUUAGCUAGUUGGUGGGGUAAAGGCCUACCAAGGCUACGGUGGUUAGCUGGUCUGAGAGGAUGAUCAGCGACACUGGAACUGAGACACGGUCCAGACUCCUACGGGAGGCAGCAGUGGGGAAUUUUGGGCAAUGGGCGAAAGCCUGACGGAGCAACGCCGCGUGAGUGAUGAAGGCUUUCGGGUCGUAAAGCUCUGUCAAUGGGAAAGAAGUGUAUUGUAGCUAAUAUCUGCGAUACUUGACGGUACCCAUAAAGGAAGCACCGGCUAACUCCGUGCCAGCAGCCGCCGUAA
rnacentral:rRNA from 1 species